UGUGUGGAAGAAGAGCAGACCGUCACCUGCGGGCCGCAGUUCUGUGAUGGACUGCAAUCAAUCCCUGACGUGCAGCCGCCGAAGAGGAGGUUCAUGCUGACCCGGACGGAUCCCAACCGCAGUCAAGUAGAGAAGAGGAGGAUGCACAACAAGCAGCAGAGCCCAGCACAGCCCAGCGGAGCCCAGCCGAGCCCAGCCGAGCCCAGCCGAGCC